AGAGUGAACGCUGGCGGCAGGCCUAACACAUGCAAGUCGAACGGCAGCACAGGGGAGCUUGCUCCCUGGGUGGCGAGUGGCGGACGGGUGAGGAAUGCGUCGGAAUCUGCCUUUUCGUGGGGGAUAACGUAGGGAAACUUACGCUAAUACCGCAUGCGACCCUGGUCCGGGAGGAUCAGGGUGAAAGCGGGGGACCUUCGGGCCUCGCGCGGAAAGAUGAGCCGACGCCGGAUUAGCUAGUUGGCGGGGUAACGGCCCACCAAGGCGACGAUCCGUAGCUGGUCUGAGAGGAUGAUCAGCCACACUGGAACUGA
rnacentral:rRNA from 1 species